CUCCCACGCCGAGCGGGGGAAAGCGAACCGGAUGACGCGUUCCUCAGAACCUGGCCCCACAAAAGCAAAUCCGGUCUUGUGCAGCACCCCCAUGGAGGGGGCCAGCUCGGGAUAGGUCUCGGCGAUUACUCGGGUUACUCGGGGAUCGGCAAAGGCGUGGCCGAGAAACCCGCCGACCGCUUCGGUAGCCAGGCCCCGGCGCUGGUAGGCCUCGACCACCGAGUAUCCAAUCUCCACCGAGCCGUCUUCCGCGGGCCCGCCUUUGAAUCCGCCGAAUCCUAUGAGUCGCCGUGGCUCACCGCCGGCAGGCCGGAGUAAAAAGAAAUAGGUCCGCCAGCCCGCUUCCUGCGGUUUUAGUUGCAGCCGAUGCAACGAGGACUCCAUCGU
rnacentral:misc_RNA from 1 species